GCAGUUAAACUGGUUUCCGACUUUCCUCUGGAACGCUCGACUGCUUAAGAGAAAAAUGCCUCAAAUGAGCAUGUGCACAACUCCAGCAAACACGCUGGACAUGCGGCCUCUCCCAAGUGCUGGCAGGCCACUGCACAUGUGGACCCACGGGAAGAAUCAGGAGAGAAGAAAUGCAAACCCCAGAGUCAUGCCAAGAUGUAAUGGUGAAGUUGAGAUGAUGAUCAGAGUCUUACUUCAGACAAAUCAUGAGUCUCAGAGGAAGUGAUGACAGAGAUGUCUGUGGAAACUAUUGAAGAGGAAGGCUUUGCUAAAUCUUCAUGGAGAGAGUCCUUUCUAUGGAGGAGACAUUAUGCUAGAAUUUUCACACAGAUUAUUUUAUUUAACUCCAAGAACUACUCCAUGAAAUAGGCAUGAUCAUCACCUUCAUUGUUUACAGAAAUAUAGAGGAGUCAUCCUUAGAUUUUAAAAGGUUUUGCCUGCUGUUGAACUACUUGGACUUCCAAAUCAUGGGCCCAUUGCAAGAAAAAAAAAGUGAUUACAGAAAAUAAUAUGCUUGAAAGUCAAAGACAGAUGAUGAUUUGCUGACCUGUCCUUCAGUGAUUGCUGAGCUUCAUUGUCCCAGACCAAGGCACUUAGUCCUGUUCAAGUACCUA
rnacentral:lncRNA from 1 species